rnacentral:lncRNA from 1 species
UAUGAUACAUAAUCAACAAUUUACAGUAGCUCUUGGACAAGACAAAGUCGGUUUGAAUAUUUGAAUUGGACUUCAAAGUUCGGACAGUGGCUGUUUAUAAGUUAACUGACGAAACUGAAUGGGUUGAUCACUAACUGACUGACAAAAUUUGUUCGACAAAACAAAGCAGUCAUAAAUUAGGUGCUUGUGAUCUUCUAACCAUUGCUUAGUAUCAGGGUCUGCACCAUAAAUUAGGAUGUUCUUUAAUGAAGCAGUCAUAUGAUUACAGUUCGAUAAAAUCCCUUACAAAUGGAGUAGACUGUAAUUCAGCGAUUGAUAUUCCGAAAUGCUUAGGUUAGAUUACUUCAGAUUCAUUUGCACAUUUUAAGCUGGACUAAUUUCAACAUGAUCCAUGGAAUUCAGGCCUUGACUGUUAACUAUCCAGGAAGCAGGUUCUCUGCGGUCACUUUCACAAUCGACAGUAACUCCUAUGGCAGUAACUCCUAUGAAAGUUAUCUGACGAAACUGAAUGGGUUGAUCAGUAACUGACAGACAAAAUUUGUUCAACAAAACAAAGCAGUCAUAAAUUAGGUGCUUGUGAUCUUCUAACCAUUGCUUAGUAUCAGGGUCUGGUGUUUCAAUUCA